rnacentral:rRNA from 1 species
UACGAAGGGAGCUAGCGUUGUUCGGAAUUACUGGGCGUAAAGCGCACGUAGGCGGCUUUUUAAGUCAGGGGUGAAAUCCCCGGGGCUCAACCCCGGAACUGCCCUUGAAACUGGAGAGCUAGAAUCUUGGAGAGGCGAGUGGAAUUCCGAGUGUAGAGGUGAAAUUCGUAGAUAUUCGGAAGAACACCAGUGGCGAAGGCGACUCGCUGGACAAGUAUUGACGCUGAGGUGCGAAAGCGUGGGGAGCAACAGG